CGCUUGAACCUGGGAGGCAGAGGUCCAAGUAAACCGCUAGCUUGUUGCACCGUGGAGGCCACAGGAGCAGAAACAUGGAAUGCCAGACGCUGGGGAUGCUGGUACAAGUUGUGGGACUGCAUGCUACUGUCUAGAGCUUGUCUCAAUGGAUCUAGAACUUCAUCGCCCUCUGAUCGCCGAUCACCUCUGAGACCCACCUUGCUCAUGAACAAAAUGCCCAUGUUGGUCCUCUGCCCUGGACCUGUGACAUUCUGGACUAUUUCUGUGUUUAUUUGUGGCCGAGUGUAACAACCAUAUAAUAAAUCACCUCUUCCGCGGUUUUAGCUGAAGAAUUAAAAAAAA
rnacentral:lncRNA from 1 species